CCAAACUUGGUCAUUUAGAGGAAGUAAAAGUCGUAACAAGGUUUCCGUAGGUGAACCUGCGGAAGGAUCAUUACAAGAAGUCUCAGGGCUAUAUGCCCUGAAACCUUCCACCCUUUGUUUAUUGAACUUAUCUUGUUGUUGCCUCGGCGGGGGUUUUUGGCGCAAGCCUUCCUCCUCCGCCGGCGUACAGCUUUAUAAACUUUUGAUGUAAACUAUAUAGUCAGAGCCAUUAUGGCAUUUUGAUAAAUAAAUCAAAACUUUCAACAACGGAUCUCUUGGUUCUGGCAUCGAUGAAGAACGCAGC
rnacentral:misc_RNA from 1 species